CGCUGCGUCAUAGCGUGGCGACGUUCGCCUUACGUCAUCCCACGUAGGCAUUUUCUUUCUGCCGUCCUCACACGGAGAAGGGGAGAAACCUUUCUCAGGAGGCCCAAGCAGACUUCCCCCUCUCAGCUCCUGUUGGCCAGAAUGUGUAUCUUGCUACAAGAGAGCUUGGAAAGCAAGGUCCGUGGUCAAAGGAACGAGACUGACACAAAGCGAAAAUCAAACAAAGCUUUAUUUUACGCCAAGCAUCGAAAAUCAAACUGACUCCUAGGGGCCAUCUCUUACGAAGAGACGAAGACGAUGACCCCGACAAGGCCACUCCCAAGAAGGCCGCUCUGGAUGAGGCUGCUCUGGACGAGGCCGCUCUGCAGAUGAGGCCACUCUGGACGAGGCUGCUCCCAGGACAAGGCCGCUCCCAGGACAAGGCCGCUGGCCAACGAGGCAGCUCCCCAGACGAGGCCACUCGAAAAGGUGACGACAACCCUGACAAGGCCACUCUGGACGAGGCCGCUUGCCGAUGAGGCUGCUCUGGACGAGGCCACCCCCAACGACGAAAAGGCAACGAUGACGAGGACGACAACCCCGAUGACGCAGAGACGACGACAACGAGGACGAUAGCCCUGAUGACUCAGACUCUACUCCCCAUGACGCUGCUCCUGACGAGGCCGCUCCAGAUGAGGCCACUGCCUACGAGGCCGCUCCCCAGACAGGGCCGCUCCCGGGAAUGAGGUUGCUCCGGCAAGGCCACUCCCUGGAUGGGGCCGCUCCCCAGAAUGAUGCCGCUCCAGUGAGGCCACUGGCGGCGAGGCUGCUGGUGGCGAAGCUGUUCGCCGGGGCGUUGCUGCCUAUGACUACGAUGACCAGGAUGACCAUGACACUCCCAACGACCAUGAUGACCACAACGCUCCGACUCUCCUGAAGAUCACCCUAAGGGCUAUUCCAACGGCUAUUCUUACUCCUCCUACUACUCCCCAGCCUCACAGACUAACCUUUAUAUAGGUGGUUGAGCCUGGCCGCACACAGGUGGCCAAUGGGAUUUCAACUCACCACAGUAAAUAUAUGCGUGCCCCACUGAUUGGAUGUCUCCAUCGGGCCUGGCCUGCCCCUAUAUCCGGGGUUUACAACUAAGUUCCUCUGGCUAACCAGGCCCUUACACUGCCCUUAUUUUAUUGAGAGUGAAAUUAAACUUUUUUAUGUUGAUUUGUGAGAGCUUUAUAUGUAAUUGCCUGUUUGUAGUCAUAUACAUCGUAAUUAUUUUCCUAGUUGUGAUACCAAAUUUCAUGUAAAAUUUUGCCUCUUACAUGCUUAAUGAUUUGAAUAGUAAUCAAAUCUGAAUAUUUGUGUUACAUUUAAAAAAUGUCUUCCCCCUUGGGGCGCCCGGGUGGCUCAGGGGGUUAAGGCCU